rnacentral:rRNA from 1 species
CCUACGGGUGGCAGCAGUGGGGAAUAUUGCACAACGGGCGCAAGCCUGAUGCAGCCAUGCCGCGUGUGUGAAGAAGGCCUUCGGGUUGUAAAGCACUUUCAGCGGGGAGGAAGGCGUUAAGGUUAAUAACCUUGGCGAUUGACGUUACCCGCAGAAGAAGCACCGGCUAACUCCGUGCCAGCAGCCGCGGUAAUACGGAGGGUGCAAGCGUUAAUCGGAAUUACUGGGCGUAAAGCGCACGCAGGCGGUCUGUCAAGUCGGAUGUGAAAUCCCCGGGCUCAACCUGGGAACUGCAUUCGAAACUGGCAGGCUAGAGUCGUGUAGAGGGGGGUAGAAUUCCAGGUGUAGCGGUGAAAUGCGUAGAGAUCUGGAGGAAUACCGGUGGCGAAGGCGGCCCCCUGGACAAAGACUGACGCUCAGGUGCGAAAGCGUGGGGAGCAAACAGGAUUAGAUACCCGGGUAGUC